GUCGGAUCCGGAGCACAAAUGUUCCUAAGUUUGGCUCAAACAUUGAUGGCUUUUCAAUUUGCCAUUUCACCACCCAAAUUAUGUCCAAAGAAUUAUGGAGAAAUCGCAUUAGAAAAAGGCUUAAAAAAGUACGACUUCAUCGUAAAUGGAGGGGGACUGCUGGUAGCGUGAUAGCUGCCUGAUUACGUGAAAAUCCUGACUGGAAUGUGUUACUAUUAGAAGCAGGUGCCCAUUGUUUUAGCUAACGUACUGUCAGCUCAGAUGACCAGUUAGUUCAAUAUCAUUGCUAUACUAGACGCCGACGAAUAAACAUCUCUCAGUUAAAAAUGACCUCAAACGUAUUUGUUCAAUAGGUCCAAGAGAUAACAGACCUUAAACGCAAAGAUGAAGAAGAAUUUAAAAAUUUGAAAGAAAAAAUUACUAGAAUGGAGAAUGAAAUAAAGGAACAAAAUGAAAAAAAUUAACACUCAAAAUGGAACAAUUGACACUUUGCAAACAGAAAUGACUAAUUUGCAGGCAGCCGUGCAAGGUUUAUUGGUUAUGUACAACGUAUGUACAGAUAAUGUGCCGCCGGUCAUAUUUGCAUCAGAUCAAAAUCGAAUGAUACCAACGGCAAUAGAAUUAUGUGUUUUCUUCGAAUGAAUGCAGACAUGCUGGGAAGCGAUCCCUAACCCAAGAAUUUCAAACCGUUUUUCAGAUCUGAGUCUCCAGCCACCAGCCCAAAUAAAAUUAAAAACUGCAUUCAACCAAAAAAUAAUGUACAUGGAACAACGACGACAGAAGUUUACCGUGCAGAAACAAUUUGCAACUGAAAUUGUCUGAAAAUAUUUCUUGAUUCGGCCUUGCAAGCUGGCCACGAAAUUCUUGAUGACAUAAAUGCUGAUAAAAGUUGGUGUUAUUUGGAAAUGCAAUCCACUUCUUUCAACGGUCGUCGCCAGAGCUCGGCGAAAGCAUUUUUACUUCCUGCAAUGAAUCGAACCAAUUUGCAUGUGAUCAAACAAUGAAGCAUACACACAAAUGACAACUAACCCAAAUAUGAACAAAAAUUGACAUAAAACUCAAUUUAUCCGAAGU